GCCACGACUUAGCCCUCCUGUUGGAAAGG
rnacentral:piRNA from 1 species